ACCAUAACUGUGGGUACGCCGGAUUGUGUGGUCAGUUAGAGAGAUUUCUCUUGAAAAACUUGUAAAUAAAACAACUUUUAACAGUGAAACUCGGGUUUCACCUAUAUCUACCGAUAAUCGUGCUGUUAGAAACCACAACAAUUUUUAAGCUAGUUUUAGCCUAAUUUUGCUUUUAUAUUUUGAUAGUGUUCUCGCAGCUUUUUUUUCGAUGAUGGAAACGUGUCGAAGAUUUCUGGAGCAUUUACUGAUGGUAUUUUUCAUCUUAGGUAUUCUCAACUUCUCCAAAGAUUCGCUGAUUGAGUAUAUCUCUCGAAAACGUAAUAAUAUGCAAAACAUCAUAGCGGUGUAUGAAAAUUCCAGUGAAGUAACUCUCUGCAUAAAUAACCUGCUUAGUAAACAAGACUUGGAUUUCACAACCCUUGGAAGAAAAUUUGCCAAUAGUCACGUGUUACUUUCCACAAAACAAGAUCGGAUUUCAUGCGGGUUGUUAACAUAUACUCUUCAGCGAGCAGUAACCUGUCUGGAUGUUUUAUUUGAAGAGCAUGUUUCCCGAAGUCCUUUUAUCAACAAUAAACAUAGCCCAGUGGAGCUAAAUUUUGUUUUCAUGGGGGACUCUAGGAUUCGUCAACAUUUUUUUAAUUUUCUAAGGGGUUAAACGGAACAGAGCCAGGGGCAAAACGGAACACCAUUUUUCUCCGCAACGGAUGGAUUAAAUUUAUCAAAAAACGCACUAGUGAAACGGAAAUUCAUUUCUCUUUCAGAAGUACUGUUAU